CUCUCAAACGAGCCUCGCUCAAAACCCUCUUAAUCUCUCACUCGAAACCCUCGCGUCUUGUUUUUCAUCCAACCUGCCUUCGUCACGCCUUUCCCCUUCUCUCGCUGCUGCUGCCCAGAUGCAUCCGUCGCCAGCGUUCUUCCUCCUGCACAGCGCAUUCUUCCUCCUGCACAGCGUUCUCACCAGCGGCUUGAUUUGGGCAUCUCCUCACCAGCGCAGCGUCUAGCAGCGGUGAAAGAGAUUUCCCCCUUUUGCAGCCGAUGCUUCCGCUAAACCAGAUUGGUCAUCUUUUGGUCCCUGCUUCAUUGUUCAUUUGAUCGAUUGGUCACCAUCUGUAUCCUACCAUAAGAGGCGUCACUCGCACAUUACUGCUCAUCUGUGGAAGAUCAUCACUUUGCUUUGAACAACCGAAGGCUUUCCUUCCUCCUAUGCCUGCAUUCUCCUUCAAAUCAAAUUGGGCAUUAUAUGCUAGCUGCUCCCUUACCACAUCUCAUUAUUUCCCAGUGCCUUUGGUUGUAAAGAAGCAAUUUGUAGAGAUUUAGGGCAACAACAAAGAUCUGGGACAUUUUUCUAAAGCAUAUCUUGCAAAAAUUUGGAAGCACCAACUGAGAAGUUGCAGACAAGAAGAACAUAUUUGUUGCCGAGUUGCAUCAACAAGUUAUUCUAUUCUUAAAAUUUAGGCAGUAUAUACACAAUUCCAUGUACUAAUCUUUCUGAGCUGAACUCAUCUUGGUGAGCUGAUUUUGCUAGACUGCAUGAAUCUGCAAACAGAUCAAAUUGGAGCUGUUCUACACAUGGGAUUCUGGGUUCUUUUUCAGUUGUCUCACUCAGGAGCAUCAUAAUAAUGUAUUCUAAUGGAUGAUCCUGAUGGAUUCCUGAUUGCACCCUUUCUUGGUAGCAGGUUGCUUAUGAAGCACAGAAAUGUAGAUUGAAAGUACUAAACACGUAUCCUGACUGAUGGAUAAAGUAAAGUGCAGAUUAAUCUCGAUGAUAAGAGGGAAAAAAAGGAAUAAAACUGGAAGUAUAUUUAACUGAUCCAAUGGAACGUCAUCGGCCUAAUGAAGUCUUCAAUAUAUCAUCUUGGUGGAAGGCAAAUGAAAGUAAAUAUAAAGUUUUAUCCAAAAUGGCUUGAGAUAUAUUGACAAUCCCUAUAUCUAUGGUUGCAUCUGAGUCUGCAUUCAGUAUAGUUGGAAGAAUCUAAUGAUUAUCGAUGUUCAACCACUCCUGAAACUGUUGAAGCACUAGUUUGUACACAGAGUUGGAUUCGUGAUAAAGACAAUUCAAGCGAAACGUAAGAUGUUCAUCACGAAUCCAACUCUGUGUACAAACUAGUGCUUCAACAGUUUCAGAAGUGGUUGAAUAUCGAUAAUCAUUAAUGAUUCUUCUAGCUGUACUGAAUGCAGACUCAGAUGCGACCAUAGAUAUAUGGAUUGUCAAUAUAUCUUGAGCUAUUUUGGAUAAAACUCUAUAUUUACUUUCAUUUGUCUUUCACCAAGGUGAUAUAUUGAAGUCUUCAUUAGGCCGAUGACGUUCCAUUGGAUCAGUUAAAUAUGCGUUCAGAUCUGUGCGAAGUACUUGAGGAGAUGCGGAACUCAUGUAAUAUGUCUCGAAAAAGCUCUCUCUUCAAAUUCUAUAAUGGCAUUAUUUGCAUUUUUAUUUUAUUCAUCGUUUGAACCAUAUACAUUUUUGUACUCAGCAUACAAUUCAUGAAGACUGCUCUCUACUCUUUCAUAUUGUA